rnacentral:lncRNA from 1 species
CUAACGUUCUGUGAUCGACAAACGAAAGGGAACGAAGGAGGUCAUCGGUUUGCCGGCUAGAGUUUUAGGUCGUUAAACUUGCAGAUAAUGAUUGAGAAAAUCCUUUCAAGGGUUCCUGUUGGACCCAAACACCUCCAACAACUGCAGCGGUGGUUGCCAUCACUGUCAAUCUUUGGGGCUGGAGCUGCUACCCUUGGGGUGUAUAUCACAGAUUGGAAAGUAGUCACUCAGUUUAUUCCAUUCUAUAGUGGAAAGCUGAAAGAAGAAGAAGAAUAAACUCAUGGUGUGAUGAUUACUCUGCUUGACUUUUCAGAUUCUUACCAGUUAUUCAAGAUAAACAGAAUGUCAAAGAUCAUCACAGGAAGUUAAGAAGUGUAUUAUAUUGUAUAAACUAAUGUAUUAAUAAACAAAUUAGGUUUUAAA